CAUUGACUUCACUUUGGAGGGCUUCUCUGCUUCCCACUCAGAGCCCCUACCCAGACCGCAGUGUCAGUGGGCUUCAGGCUGCUGAUCAUCAGUCUGCCCACCUUCCAGUCAUGAGCUCGGCUUUACAGUGCUGUUCCAGGCUCUUUGUCUUGGGUCUGUGUCCUUUCCUGUAUGUGAAUUGUAUUCCAAAUUUACACACAUGCACACACAAUCACGUUUAAAAUAUCUGUAAGUCUGGUUUUUUAACUUACCACAGACCAUGAAUGCUCCUUACUGGCUCCCCAGCUCAGUGCCAGUGUCUAAAGCAUGAAGGAUAAACUCUGCUAUAAUCAAUUUGAGAAGCACUAUAUAUAUAUUAGGCCUAGCGGGGCUCAGGGACAAAUGGUUUUCCCAGAAACCAUAUUAAUGACUCCUGUUUGUUUAUAUAAUAAUUCAAGGCUCAUCCACUGCAAAGUCCAACAGGAUUUACAGAGGGUCUCUCUCGGCAUUUCAUUUUAAACCUCAUUUUAAAACCUGGAGAAAAGAAAUCUGUCACAGUAAAGUUCACUCCACUCCACAACAGAACUGUUUCUUCCCUGAUCAUAGUCAGAAACAACCUGACUGUGAUGGAUGCUGUCAUGGUCCAGGGUCAGGGGACAACGGAGAACCUGAGGGUGGCAGGCAAGCUUCCAGGUCCAGGAAGCUCCUUGCGCUUCAAAAUCACAGAAGCACUGUUAAAGGAUUGCAUAGACCGUUUGAAACUACGAGAACCAAAUUUCACAUUGAAAAGAACAUUCAAAGUAGAGAAUGCAGGACACCUCGAGAUCCGUGUAGAAA
rnacentral:sRNA from 1 species